CUUGAAUAAAAAUAGUUAGGUUCUUUAUAACUCAAAGGAUUUGGCGGUUAAAUUUUAUUUUUCAGAGGAACCUGUGUAUUAAUCGAUAAUCCACGAUAGUUUAUACCUUUAAGUUAUUUGUAUAUCUCUAUAUUUUGGAAUGUUUUUUUAGAAUAUUAAUUUUCUUUUAAAUUUAUUAUUUAUGUUAGGUCAAGGUGCAGUUUUUUAAAUGGUUUAUGUGGGUUAUUUUAAUUUUAUAAUUUUAUAUAUUUUUAUUAAUAAAUUUAAUUUUAGGAUUUGAAAGUAAUUUUGUUUAAUUAGAUAUUUUGAAUAGUU
rnacentral:rRNA from 1 species